CAUGAAGAUGAUGCUCCACCGUGGGUCCUAACCACUUGUCUCUAUUUGGGAAAUCACGGCCAUGAAUGUUUCCUUCAUAAGACUCUAUGUAGAAAUUUGUGUAGUGUACUGUGGCUUCUGCAGACUCCCAGUUCAACCUCCAGUAAGAAAGGGACAAGUCUAACAAUCUCGCUAAAAUGACUCUCUUAGAUUGCCCAUGUUGGCAAAGCUAGGUCCAAUAGCUGUAAUAAAGUGAGCUCAUUC
rnacentral:lncRNA from 1 species